UACGGAGGUUCCAAGCGUUGUUCGGAAUUACUGGGCGUAAAGGGAGCGCAGGCGGACGGCCCAGUCCAAAGUGGAAUCCCGGGGCUUAACCCCGGAAGGGCUUUGGAUACUAGCCGUCUUGAGUUCGCGAGAGGAAGGCGGAAUUCAGGGUGUAGCGGUGAAAUGCUUAGAUAUCCUGAGGAACACCUGUGGCGAAAGCGGCCUUCUGGCGCGACACUGACGCUGAGGCUCGAAAGCGUGGGGAG
rnacentral:rRNA from 1 species